rnacentral:rRNA from 1 species
UACAGAGGUCUCAAGCGUUGUUCGGAUUCAUUGGGCGUAAAGGGUGCGUAGGUGGCGCUGUAAGUCAGGUGUGAAAUUUCGGAGCUUAACUCCGAAACUGCAUUUGAUACUGCGGUGCUCGAGGACUGGAGAGGAGACUGGAAUUUACGGUGUAGCAGUGAAAUGCGUAGAGAUCGUAAGGAAGACCAGUGGCGAAGGCAAUCCCCUGGACCUGUACUGACGCUCAUGCACGAAAGCGUGGGGAGCAAACAGG